CCCUUAGAUGUCCUGGGCCGCACGCGCGUUACACUGAUGCAUUCAACGAGCAUAUAACCUUGUCCGAGAGGCCUGGGUAAUCUUGUUAACAUGCAUCGUGAUAGGGAUAGAUUAUUGCAAUUAUUAAUCUUGAACGAGGAAUUCCUAGUAAUCGCAGUUCAUCAAACUGCAAUGAUUACGUCCCUGCCCUUUGUACACACCGCCCGUCGCACCUACCGAUUGAAUGGUCCGGUGAGGACUCGGGAUUGUGGUUUAGCUCCUUCAUUGGGGCCUGACUGCGAGAACUUGUCCGAACCUUAUCAUUUAGAGGAAGGUGAAGUCGUAACA
rnacentral:rRNA from 1 species